GGGUGAGUAAACGCGUUGAGGAAACCUGGCCUCUCAUGGGGGGACAACAGUUUGGAAACGACUGCUAAUACCGCAUAACGUUUUUCGGACCGCAUGAUCUGAAAACCAAAGCUUUAUGUGCUGAGAGAUGGCCUCGCGUCUGAUUAGCCUAAGUUGGUGGGGGUUAAACGGGCCCACCAAGGCGACGAUCAGUAGCCGGUCUGAGAGGAUGAACGGCCACAUUGGGACUGAGAUACGGCCCAGACUCCUACGGGAGGCAGCAGUGGGGAAUAUUGGGCAAUGGGGGAAACCCUGACCCAGCAACGCCGCGUGAAGGAAGAAGGCCCUCGGGUUGUAAACUUCUUUUACCCAGGGACGAAGAACGUGACGGUACCUGGAGAAAAGCGACGGCUAACUACGUG
rnacentral:rRNA from 1 species